rnacentral:rRNA from 1 species
AGGGGGCAAGCGUUAUCCGGAUUUACUGGGUGUAAAGGGAGCGUAGACGGCAAUGCAAGUCUGGUGUGAAAGGCCGGGGCCCAACCCCGGGACUGCAUUGGAAACUGUCGCGCUGGAGUGUCGGAGGGGCAGGCGGAAUUCCUAGUGUAGCGGUGAAAUGCGUAGAUAUUAGGAGGAACACCGGUGGCGAAGGCGGCCUGCUGGACGGCAACUGACGCUGAGGCUCGAAAGCGUGGGGAGCAA